GCCGGUGUAGCUCAGCUGGUAGAGCGUCUGAUUUGUAAUCAGAGGGUCGCAGGUUCGACUCCUGUCACCGGCUCCA
rnacentral:tRNA from 1 species